rnacentral:rRNA from 1 species
UACGUAGGGUGCAAGCGUUUGUCCGGAAUUAUUGGGCGUAAAGAGCUCGUAGGCGGUUCGUCGCGUCGGCUGUGAAAUCCCCGAGGCUCAACCUCGGGUCUGCAGUCGAUACGGGCGGACUGGAGUUCGGCAGGGGAGACUGGAAUUCCUGGUGUAGCGGUGAAAUGCGCAGAUAUCAGGAGGAACACCGGUGGCGAAGGC